rnacentral:piRNA from 1 species
AGGCGCCGCCCGCCAUGUGGCUCUGUGG